AGGUUGGGAGCUAGCAGUGGAAGGUUGGGAGCUAGCAGUGGAAGGUUGGGAGCUAGCAGUGGAAGGUUGGGAGCUAGCAGUGGAAGGUUGGGAGCUAGCAGUGGAAGGUUGGGAGCUAGCAGUGGAAGGUUGGGAGCUAGCAGUGGAAGGUUGGGAGCUAGCAGUGGAAGGUUGGGAGCUAGCAGUGGAAGGUUGGGAGCUAGCAGUGGAAGGUUGGGAGCUAGCAGUGGAAGGUUGGGAGCUAGCAGUGGAAGGUUGGGAGCUAGCAGUGGAAGGCUAGAGGUGAGGAGGGGUAGGUCAGUGGAGGUGGUUAGGGGUGAGGAGGGGUAGGGGUGGUAGGGUAGGGGUUAGGAGUGGUAGGAUAAGGGUGAGGAGGGGUAAGUUAGGCGUUAUGUUGACCUGGCCGCUGGUUCAUCUCCUGUUCUGCCCGUGGUCGCUUCCGGCCGUGUACCUCAUACUCAUCCGAGCGACGCCUAGAUCACACACACACACACACACACACACCAUGUCAACAAAAACACACACCAAGAGUCAAAACACACACACACACA